UCCUGGUGGCUCAAAUGGUAAAGCGUCUGCCUGCAAUGCGGGAGACCCGGGUUUGAUUCCUGGGUCUGGAA
rnacentral:tRNA from 1 species